UAGGGAAUCUUCCGCAAUGGACGAAAGUCUGACGGAGCGACGCCGCGUGAGCGAAGAAGGUCUUCGGAUCGUAAAGCUCUGUUGUUAGGGAAGAAGAAGUGCCGUUCGAACAGGGCGGCACGGUGACGGUACCUAACGAGAAAGCCCCGGCUAACUACGUGCCAGCAGCCGCGGUAAUACGUAGGGGGCGAGCGUUGUCCGGAAUUAUUGGGCGUAAAGCGCGCGCAGGCGGUCCCUUAAGUCUGAUGUGAAAGCCCACGGCUUAACCGUGGAGGGUCAUUGGAAACUGGGGGACUUGAGUGCAGAAGAGGAGAGCGGAAUUCCACGUGUAGCGGUGAAAUGCGUAGAGAUGUGGAGGAACACCAGUGGCGAAGGCGGCUCUCUGGCCUGUAACUGACGCUGAGGCGCGAAAGCGUGGGGAGCGAACAGG
rnacentral:rRNA from 1 species